rnacentral:rRNA from 1 species
GACGUAGGGCGCGAGCGUUGUCCGGAUUUAUUGGGCGUAAAGAGCUCGUAGGCGGCUUGUCGCGUCGUCCGUGAAAACUUGGGGCUCAAUCCCAAGCUUGCGGUCGAUACGGGCAGGCUGGAGUUCGGUAGGGGAGACUGGAAUUCCUGGUGUAGCGGUGAAAUGCGCAGAUAUCAGGAGGAACACCGGUGGCGAAGGCGGGUCUCUGGGCCGAUACUGACGCUGAGGAGCGAAAGCGUGGGGAGCGAACAGG